GACGAACGCUGGCGGCGUGCUUAACACAUGCAAGUCGUACGGUAAGGCCCUUUCGGGGGUACACGAGUGGCGAACGGGUGAGUAACACGUGAGUAACCUGCCCACAACUUUGGGAUAACGCUAGGAAACUGGUGCUAAUACUGGAUAUGUGCUCCUGCUGCAUGGUGGGGGUUGGAAAGCUCCGGCGGUUGUGGAUGGACUCGCGGCCUAUCAGCUUGUUGGUGGGGUAGUGGCCUACCAAGGCGGCGACGGGUAGCCGGCCUGAGAGGGUGACCGGCCACAUUGGGACUGAGAUACGGCCCAGACUCCUACGGGAGGCAGCGGUGGGGAAUAUUGCACAAUGGGCGCAAGCCUGAUGCAGCAACGCCGCGUGCGGGAGGACGGCCUUCGGGUUGUAAACCGCUUUCAGCAGGGACGAAGCUUUUUGUGACGGUACCUGCAGAAGAAGCACCGGCUAACUACGUG
rnacentral:rRNA from 1 species